rnacentral:rRNA from 1 species
AAAUGAAUAGACGGGGGCCCGCACAAGCAGUGGAGUAUGUGGUUUAAUUCGAAGCAACGCGAAGAACCUUACCAGGGCUUGACAUCCUAAGAAUCGGGUAGAGAUACCCGAGUGCCCUUCGGGGAACUUAGAGACAGGUGGUGCAUGGUUGUCGUCAGCUCGUGUCGUGAGAUGUUGGGUUAAGUCCCGCAACGAGCGCAACCCCUAUUGUUAGUUGCCAGCAUUAAGUUGGGCACUCUAACGAGACUGCCGGUGAUAAAUCGGAGGAAGGUGGGGACGACGUCAAAUCAUCAUGCCCCUUAUGUCCUGGGCUACACACGUACUACAAUGGCUGUUAACAGAGGGAAGCUAAGCCGCGAGGCCACGCAAAUCCCCAAAAACAGUCUCAGUUCAGAUUGCAGGCUGCAACUCGCCUGCAUGAAGUCGGAAUUGCUAGUAAUCGCGAAUCAGCAUGUCGCGGUGAAUACGUUCCCGGGCCUUGUACACACCGCCCGU